UACGGAGGGUGCAAGCGUUAAUCGGAAUUACUGGGCGUAAAGCGUGCGCAGGCGGUUCGCCAAGUCAGGUGUGAAAUCCCCGGGCUUAACCUGGGAAUUGCGCUUGAAACUAGCGGGCUUGAGUGUGGCAGAGGGGGGUGGAAUUCCACGUGUAGCAGUGAAAUGCGUAGAGAUGUGGAGGAACACCGAUGGCGAAGGCAGCCCCCUGGGUCAACACUGACGCUCAUGCACGAAAGCGUGGGGAGCAAACAGG
rnacentral:rRNA from 1 species